rnacentral:tRNA from 1 species
UCCCUGGAGGACUAGUGGUUAGGCCACAGUGCUCUCACCGCCCCAGCCAGGGUUCGAUUCCCGGCCAGGGAA